rnacentral:hammerhead_ribozyme from 1 species
AUCUAGCUGGCGAGUCCCAAAUAGGGACAAAACGAGCGUCCUGGAU